rnacentral:rRNA from 1 species
GUUUCCCAUUCUACCCUGAACAUGCCCAAUCUUGCCUGAUUUCAGAAGUACAGUACUUGGGUUAGUACUUGGGUGGGAGACUACCUGAGAAUACCAAGGAUGUGAAGCU